CUGGCGGUAGGCCUAAACAUGCAAGUCGAACGGCAGCACAGAGGAGCUUGCUCCUUGGGUGGCGAGUGGCGGACGGGUGAGGAAUACAUCGGAAUCUACUCUGUCGUGGGGGAUAACGUAGGAAACUUACGCUAAUACCGCAUACNACCUACAGGUGAAAGCAGGGGAUCUUCGGACCUUGCGCGAUUGAAUGANCCGAUGUCGGAUUAUCUAGUUGGCGGGGUAAAGGCCCACCAAGGCGACNAUCCGUAUCUGGUCUGAGAGGAUGAUCACCCNCACUGGAACUGAGACACGGUCCAGCUCCUACGGGAGGCAGCAGUGGGGAAUAUUGGACAAUGGGCGCAAGCCUGAUCCACCCAUACCGCGUGGGUGAAGAAGGCCUUCGGGUUGUAAAGCCCUUUUGUUGGGAAAGAAAUCCAGCUGGCUAAUACCCGGUUGGGAUGACGGUACCCAAAGAAUAANCACCGGCUAACUUCNUGCCACAGCCGCGGUAAUACNAAGGGUGCAAGCGUUACUCGGAAUUACUGGGCGUAAAGCGUGCGUAGGUGGUCGUUUAAGUCCGUUGUGAAAGCCCUGGGCUCAACCUGGGAACUGCAGUGGUACUGGGCGACUAGAGUGUGGUAGAGGGUAGCGGAAUUCCUGGUGUANCAAUGAAAUGCGUANAGAUCAGGAGGAACAUCCAUGGCGAAGGCAGCUACCUGGACCAACAC
rnacentral:rRNA from 1 species